GAAGAAGAAGAAGAAGAAGAAAGGAAAGAGGUAGUUCAAGAUUUGUUGAGAUGAAUACUACUUGGAGCUCAAGUUAUUGAUUCUUGAAUUUCUAUCUACAUUAAGGUGGUGACGAGGAAAUUGGAAACGUUUAUUAGGCAAUCUA